CGGAAUGAAGCCAUGGUGGGCCAAGGACUGAGUGUUACCCAGCAGGGGACAGUGUGUGUGUCCUGGGGAGACCAAUGCCUGCCUGGAUGUGGAGGGGGCUUGUAGAGAGUGCCCAAGAGGCCUGGAGGAGACUUUGGACCUGCUUUCACAACUGCAGAGCCUCCUGGGGCCACACCUUGACAAAGGUGACUUUGGUCAGCUCUCCGGUCCAGACCCCCCAGGUGAGGUGGGCAAAAGAACACUUGAUGGAGCCUCCCGGUCCUCUCAUGAGUCUAUGGAAGACGCUGCUCCCAUUCUCUACCCAUUAGCUUCCCCGGAUCCUCGAACCAAGCAUCCUCAGGAUCUGGCCUCCACCCCACCACCAGGCCCAAUGACCACCUCAGUCUCCUCCCUAAGUGCCUCCCAGCCACCACCAGAACCUUCCCUUCUCCUAGAACGCCCCUCACCCGAGCCACCUGCACUUUUCCCUCACCCACCACACACCCCUGAUCCUCUGGCCUGCUCUCCGCCUCCUCCAAAAGGCUUCACUGCUCCUCCCCUACGGGACUCCACUCUGAUAACUCCAUCUAGCUAUGACUCAGUGGCACUUCCACUGGGCACCGUCCCUCAAAGCUUGUCUCCACGUGAGGAUUUGGCGGCUUCGGUCCCAGCCAUCUCAGGCCUUGGCGGCUCAAACAGUCAAGUUUCUGCCUUCUCCUGGUGGCAGGAGACUACCAGAACCUGGUGCGUCUUCAACUCAUCAGUCCAGCAAGAUCAUCUUUCCCGCC
rnacentral:sRNA from 1 species